CAGGAAUAUAAUCUUAUUUGUUAGACGUUCACUUCUCUUACUGCAGAUAAGAACUUGCUUCAUCAGAUCUUGAAGAUGGAUCUAGAGGCAGAGCCGCUCGGGGAUGCAUCCUAUAAAGAUGCCAGGGAGUCGCUAGGGGAUGCAGCCCUUGAAGA